rnacentral:tRNA from 1 species
GGAGAGAUGGCUCAGCAGUUAAGAGCAAUGACUGUACUUCCAGAGGACCUGGGUUCAAUUCCCAGCCACUCCA